rnacentral:rRNA from 1 species
UACGUAGGGAGCUAGCGUUGUUCGGAAUCACUGGGCGUAAAGGGAGUGUAGGCGGACAUGUAAGUUAGGAGUGAAAUGUACCGGCUUAACCGGUGAGCUGCUUUUAAAACUGCAUGUCUUGAGUAUGGGAGAGGAAGAUGGAAUUCCAGGUGUAGUGGUAAAAUACGUAGAUAUCUGGAAGAACACCAGUUGCGAAGGCGGUCUUCUGGCCCAAUACUGACGCUGAGGCUCGAAAGCUAGGGGAG